AAACCAGGCGUAAAACUCUCACUUCCGAUGUGCAUCAUCAUCGGAAGCAAAGGGUAAAGGUGAAUCAUAAAUGAUAGGUCAGCUUGUGAAUGGAAAACGUUACAUCAAAUGUAAAAAUGGAAGGCGU
ensembl:ncRNA H36L18.3 ncRNA